AUGAGUGGGCAAAUUUUGGGUGCAACACUUUCACAGAAACAGAAACUAAAUCAAACGCAUAUGAAAGUGGAUUAUUCACAUCUCAACGGCAAGCUGCAACUCUCAGAUACCGCAUCCACCAUCCUCGAUGAACCUACCGAAUCGCAAGCAUCCGGAUCGAAACCUCGUUCACGCUGCAAAUCACCGCUUCUAACCACCAGCAAUCACGCCACAUACUCAGAUUAG